AUGUCUUUUCUACACUUUUUUCCCUUCAAGUACCAGUUAUUCAAUUCCAGUAUAUCGCAACACAUGCAAGAAUGGCCAGAAAUAUAUUCACCUUGUUUCUGGACAAGCACUCUUGUAUUGAUACAACUGGUAUUUAUCACGAGCAUCGUGGCUCAGUAUCUGUUCAAAAGAAUCAGAUGGUGCAGGCAGAGGUUGAAGAUCACAACUCCUGAAAGCAAUGAGCAUUCUAAUCAGGAACAACAAAAUGCAGACAUAAAGCUGGGUAUCUCAUAUCAAGCAAGCAAAGUUUGUUGCCUGCUUAUAUUAGUCACUCAUGUCCUGAGGAUAUUCCUUUUCCAGUUACAAGGAAAAAUAAGUGGUUGCAAGUACCCACCUUUAGCUCUGGGUGCAGGUUUACAUGUGCUAUCGUGGAUGAUACUGUCACUAGCAGUAUUCAGUCUAGAGAAGACAAAAUCUGUAAAGCAUCCACUCACAAUUCGGGCAUGGUGGAUAGUUAGCUUUCUACAAUCAAUAAUCAGUGUGAUAUUUGAUCUCAGAUCCACUUUAUCAGAUCAUGGAUAUAUAGGAUUUGCAGAAUUGAUGGACCUGUUCACACUUAUUAUCUGCGCUUAUCUGUUUGGAAUUUCUGCAAGAGGAAAAACAGGAAUCACCUUAAUAAACAGCAGCACAACAGAGCCACUACUGAGUCCAUCUGCAGGACAGCAGACAGAAACCAAAAGGACAAGUCUGUAUGGCAAAGCAAGCAUUCUGGACCUUGUCCCGUUCUCCUGGAUGACUCCUCUAUUUGUUAUCGGAUAUAAGAAACCUCUAGAUAAGAAUGAUGUGCCAGAUAUUGAUGAAAGGGACUAUGCCGAUUUACUCUCUGAUUCAUUUAAAAGGAUCCUAGCAGAUGUUGAACACAGGCAUGGUUUAAGUACCUUAUCAAUCCAUAGAGCAAUCUUCCUAUUUAUCAGAAGAAAAGCAAUACUCAAUGCAGUAUUUGCAAUUCUGUGUGCAUGUGCAUCAUAUGUUGGACCAUCACUGAUUAAUGACUUGGUGAAAUUCCUUGGGGGAGAGAGGAAAAAUGGACUGCAAAAAGGUUAUCUUCUUGCUGUUGCAUUUUUAACUCAAAGGCUUGGGAUGCGGCUACGAGCUGCUUUGAUAUCUCACAUCUACCAAAAGGGGCUCCGGUUAUCCUGCGGCGCAAGGCAGAAGCAUUCGAGUGGAGAGAUCAUAAACUACAUGAGUGUAGAUAUACAAAGGAUAACCGAAGUAAUGUGGUACACAAACUACAUUUGGAUGUUACCCAUACAGCUUUCUCUAGCAGUCUAUGUUCUCCAUCUAAACCUAGGCGCUGGAGCAUGGGCUAGUUUAGCAGCAACACUGGCAAUAAUGACUUGCAAUAUUCCUCUGACAAGACUGCAGAAAAGGUUGCAAUCAGAGAUCAUGGCUGCUAAAGACAACAGAAUGAAGGCAACAACGGAAGUGCUUAGAAGCAUGAAAAUACUGAAACUUCAAGCAUGGGAUACAGAGUACCUUCAAAAGCUAGAAGCUUUACGAAGGGAGGAGCACAAUUGGUUGUGGAAAUCUGUAAGGUUGUCAGCUUUAACAACAUUCAUAUUUUGGGGGUCCCCUGCAUUCAUAUCCUCCAUAACAUUCGGUACAUGUAUAUUGAUGGGGAUUCCUCUAACAGCUGGUACUGUUUUGUCUGCUCUUGCAACGUUCCGGAUGCUACAAGAUCCAAUCUUCACACUCCCUGAUUUACUUUCGGUGUUUGCUCAGGGGAAAGUUUCAGCAGAUCGAGUAGCACAAUACCUCCAGGAAGAAGAGUUGAAAUGUGACGCAAUUACAGAAGUACCAAGGAAUGACACGGACUAUGAUGUGGAGAUUGAUCAUGGAGCAUUCAGCUGGGAACCUGAGACCACAUCUCCAACUAUAACAGAUGUAAAUUUAAAAGUAAAGAGAGGGAUGAAAGUAGCAAUCUGUGGAGUAGUUGGCUCUGGGAAAUCCAGUCUAUUAUCAUGCAUACUUGGGGAGAUGCCUAAGCUAGCUGGGACUGUGAGGGUCAGUGGGAGCAGAGCAUAUGUUCCUCAGACUGCCUGGAUCCUAUCCGGGAACAUCAGAGACAACAUUCUGUUUGGAAACCCAUAUGACAGGGAAAAGUACCAAAAGGUAAUACAAGCUUGUGCAUUGACAAAAGAUCUUGAGCUAUUUGCAAAUGGAGAUUUGACGGAGAUUGGAGAAAGAGGAAUUAACAUGAGUGGUGGACAGAAGCAGAGGAUUCAGAUUGCAAGGUCAGUGUACGAGGAUGCAGAUAUAUACCUCUUCGAUGAUCCUUUCAGUGCAGUAGAUGCUCACACUGGAGGACAACUUUUCAAGGAUUGCCUCAUGGGGAUGCUUAAAGACAAAACAAUAUUGUAUGUGACACAUCAAGUUGAAUUUCUUCCAGCUGCAGAUCUUAUACUAGUGAUGCAGGAUGGGAAGAUUGUGCAGAAAGGAACAUUUGAUGAUCUCCUUCAACAGAACAUAGGAUUUGAAGCCAUAGUCGGAGCCCAUAGCCAGGCAACUGAGUCUGUCAUAAAUGCCGAGAGUUCCAGCCGAAUUUUGUCAACAGAGAGCCAAAAGUUAGCAGAUAUUGAUGAAGAGUUUGAGAGAGAAAACCACACUGAUGAUCAAAUUCAGGGCAUAUUGAAGCAAGAGUCUGCACACGAUGUCUCACAAGUUAUCAAUGAAAAAGGAAGGUUAACACAAGAUGAGGAACGAGAAAAGGGAGGGAUUGGCAAGACGAUCUACUGGGCAUACCUGACGGCUGUUCAUGGUGGCGCAUUAGCACCGAUGACAGUGGCAGCACAGUCAUUCUUCCAAAUAUUCCAGGUCGCAGGCAACUAUUGGAUGGCAUGGGCGUGUCCUCCAACGUCUGCAACCACCCCAAGGGUUGGAUUAGGCCUUCUUUUCUUCGUAUACAUAGUGCUAUCUAUAGGAAGUGCACUAUGUGUUUUUGGUCGGUCUAUGCUUGUUUCGCUUGUUGGCCUGCUAACAGCGGAGAAGUUCUUCAAGAAUAUGCUCCAUUGCAUCCUCCGUGCUCCAAUGUCCUUCUUUGAUUCCACACCCACUGGCAGGAUCCUAAACAGGGUCUCCAAUGACCAAAGUGUCUUAGAUCUGAAAAUGGCAGACAGCCUUGGUUGGUGCGCGUUUUCUGUUAUACAAAUUCUGGGGACCAUUGGCAUUAUGUCACAGGUUGCGUGGCCAGUUUUUGUCAUCUUUAUUCCAGUGACAGCAAUCUGUUAUGUGUUUCAACGGUACUACAUACCAACAGCAAGAGAGCUGGCUCGUCUACAACAAAUUCAAAGGGCUCCAAUACUCCACCAUUCUGCGGAAUCACUUACAGGAGCGGCAAGUAUUAGAGCAUAUGGACGGAAAGACCGCUUCAGCAAAGCAAACAUCAGUCUUGUUAACAACCACUUACGACCAUGGUUCCAUAACGUCUCGGCUGUGGAGUGGCUUUGCUUCAGGCUAAACAUGCUAUCUAACUUUGUCUUUGCCUUUUCUUUGACUCUGUUGGUGAGUCUUCCCGAAGGUUUUAUAAAUCCAAGCAUUGCGGGACUUGCAGUGACUUAUGCACUGAACCUCAACGGGCAGUUGUCAUCUGUAACCUGGAACAUUUGCAACACAGAGAAUAAAAUGAUUUCAGUUGAAAGAAUAAUGCAGUACUCAAAGAUCCCUAGUGAGGCUCCUCUAAUAGUUGAUGAUCACCGCCCCCCAAACAGCUGGCCAAAGGACGGCACUAUAAAUAUAAGAAACUUGGAGGUUAGAUAUGCAGAGCAUCUCCCCUCUAUUUUAAGAAAUAUAUCAUGUACAAUUCCAGGACGGAAGAAGGUGGGGAUUGUUGGACGUACUGGCAGUGGAAAGUCAACUUUGAUUCAAGCGCUUUUCCGGAUUGUUGAACCAAGACAAGGGACAAUUGAAAUUGAUAAUGUUGAUCUCAGCAAAAUUGGGUUGCAUGAUUUACGAGGCAGACUUAGCAUCAUCCCACAGGAUCCAACCAUGUUUGAGGGCACAGUGAGAGGAAAUCUUGAUCCACUAAAUGAAUAUUCUGAUCAACAUGUAUGGGAGGCAUUGGACAAAUGCCAGCUUGGUGACAUUGUUCGUCGAAACCCAAAGAAGCUGGACUCAACAGUUGUCGAAAAUGGGGAAAAUUGGAGUGUCAGACAGAGGCAGUUGUUUUGCCUGGGAAGGGUUCUGCUAAAGCGAAGCAAUGUCCUUGUCCUUGACGAGGCAACUGCUUCAGUUGACUCGUCUACAGAUGCAAUUAUCCAGAAAACACUCCGUGAGGAGUUUGGGGACUGCACGGUGCUGACAGUAGCACAUAGAAUUCACACAGUUAUCGACAGUGAUCUUAUUCUUGUCUUCAGCAAAGGAAGAAUUAUAGAAUACGACACGCCGUCGAGAUUACUGGAGGACAAAAACUCUGAACUUUCAAGGCUCAUAAAGGAGUACUCGCGGAGAUCCAAGGGGUUUUGA
rnacentral:rRNA from 1 species